GAGACAGCAGUCGCCGCGGGAAUACGUAGGUGGCAAGCGUUGUCCGGAAUUACUGGGCGUAAAGCGUGCGCAGGCGGUUGUGUAAGACAGGUGUGAAAUCCCCGGGCUUAACCUGGGAACUGCGCUUGUGACUGCACAGCUAGAGUAUGGCAGAGGGGGGUGGAAUUCCACGUGUAGCAGUGAAAUGCGUAGAGAUGUGGAGGAACACCAGUGGCGAAGGCGACUCUCUGGUCUGUAACUGACGCUGAGGAGCGAAAGCGUGGGGAGCGAACAGGAUUAGAUACCCGCGUAGUCCCUGUCUCUUAUAC
rnacentral:rRNA from 1 species